GCGGGCGUGGUGGAACCGGUAGACACGCCGGCUUUAGGUGCCGGUGGCGAAAGCCGUGGGGGUUCGAGUCCCUCCGCCCGCA
rnacentral:tRNA from 1 species